rnacentral:rRNA from 1 species
GCAAGUCGAACGAGAAGUUCCUUCGGGAGCGAGUAAAGUGGCGGACGGGUGAGUAACGCGUAGGAAUCUACCUUUCAGUGGGGGAUAGCUCGGGGAAACUCGAAUUAAUACCGCAUACACCCUUCGGGGGAAAGGGGGCCUCUCCUUGGAAGCUCUCGCUGUUAGAUGAGCCUGCGUGAGAUUAGCUUGUUGGUAAGGUAAUGGCUUACCAAGGCUACGAUCUCUAGCUGGUCUGAGAGGACGAUCAGCCACACUGGGACUGAGACACGGCCCAGACUCCUACGGGAGGCAGCAGUAGGGAAUAUUGGACAAUGGGGGCAACCCUGAUCCAGGCAUGCCGCGUGUGUGAAGAAGGCCUUAGGGUUGUAAAGCACUUUAAGUGAGGAAGAAAAGAUUUAAAUUAAUACUUUAAGUCCUUGACAUUACUCACAGAAUAAGGACCGGCUAACUCCGUGCCAGCAGCCGCGGUAAUACGGAGGGUCCAAGCGUUAAUCGGAAUUACUGGGCGUAAAGCGCGCGUAGAUGGUUUAUUCAGUUGGGUGUGAAAUCCCUGGGCUCAACCUAGGAACUGCAUUCAAAACUUAUAAACUAGAGUACGAAAGAGGAGAGUAGAAUUCAUGGUGUAGCGGUGAAAUGCGUAGAGAUCAUGAGGAAUACCAGUGGCGAAGGCGACUCUCUGGUUCGAGACUGACAUUGAGUGCGAAAGCGUGGGUAGCAAACAGGAUUAGAUACCCUGGUAGUCCACGCCGUAACGAUGAGACUAGCCGUUGGAUCUUUAGAUUCAGUGGCGCAGCUA